UUUCUUUACGGUUUCGAUAAUCGCCAUCGACGCUCCCCCCCGCCUGUCCCCCCGAGGCGGCCUUCCGGGGUUCGACCACGUGGUUGAUGCGAGCUUCGGUGGGCGGGGUGGGAAAGCUGCGGGACGAGAGCCGCCGUACGUGGCGCCAAAAGCCAGCACGCCGUUCGGCGGAAGCGCCGUCGUGAUGUCGCCGUCCCCAGGAACACUCCAAUCCCCCAAGUCGCGGGUCGAUUAAAUUUUCUGCGACGCGACGCGACGGGACAGCUCGGCCCGUCGUACGCUCUCC
rnacentral:lncRNA from 1 species